UUAGCCUCUUAGUUCAGGAAGUAGGAAGUAUUAGUUGUACUGCAGAAGUUCAGAAAAAUGUGGUAUCUGUGACGUCCUCAAACAUCUUCUUUCUUUGCAUCUGUUAAGCUCAAUGUUUGCUUCCACCACGCAGUGAGUUGUUUCCCUGCUUCUUCAUGUUCGUCAUCAAUCAACUGUAUGGAAUGAAGGACUUGUACCCGAGUGCUUCACAUCACAGUGCUGUAUCAGGAAUAAAUCUGCUGAGAGGUGCUGAGAUGGAGACAAGGUUGGUGUAAGAGACUAUGGACCGUCCCCAACAGGAGAAAAGGAGCAAGAGAGAGAGUGAAAGUGAAAUAAGAGAAAACAGUAUAGAGCAGUACACCUGUGAAUUCAUGAUGCCAUCAAUGAAAUGCAGCUCCCGACACCAGCAGCACUCAUGCAGCCCCACAUAAGGACAGUGCCACCACCAUGUUUCACUGCAGACAGCAACAGCGCUUGGGAUCGCAUCCAGGGUCACUGCCCUUCUAACAGCUGGGAUUCGGAUGCCCUUCUCAUGAGUACAACAGCUCUGGCGAGGGCACGACUGCGGCCGCGGCUACUGGGCUCGCUUCAACUAAAAGAUAAAUGACAAUAGACAAUGGAGCCUGUCAUUUCUCAGGUUAAAGGCUUUUUGCUGAAGUAAACAGUCUCAGCUGGUUGUCAGUGGUAGUUACACAGCCAUUCAAAGAAAGUGUAAACAGAACAAAAGCUCAGAUGAGGUUAAACUGAUAUUUAUGUCCCAUUGAAUCUUUUUUGGUUGAAUUUCUCUGGCCCUCCCUGAUCCCCAAACACUCUUUUAAUGUUAUAACAGCGUUUUAGUUUGUUCGUGGAUGAUUUUGGAAGUCAAGCAAUCGACAGAAAUGUCCAAAUAUCUGUGUCUGUGAUUAGGCAUUGUGCUCUAAUCUAUUAAUAAUUCAACCUCAUCCAGCUUAGACACUUCAAAAAGAAUAUAAUCAAUCACAUGAAGGAGAAAAUAAAGGCCUGAUUAAUAAUUAAUGCAGGUGUCCCAGAUUUUGUUGCUUUAAAAACAAUGACCAUUUCGGAUGAGAUAAAAAUAAAUACUUUUGUAUAUAACUUCCACAUAUUUCCGAAAAAGACAACACAAAAGUAGAACAUGUAAACACAAGUAGUCAAAUAUUCUCCAGUGCCUCUAUCAGUGGUAUUUCACUGCUGAACACACAUUCUCACAGUAGGAAGGGCCCAUUGAUGGACAGACUGUUCUUGUUCAUCACCGCCCUGAUUCCAUCUGUUGCACAUUUGGAGAAUCCGUUCCUGGUGUGUUUUGAUAACCUGCCAAGCACUUUCUAUUUAGCCAUUCUUAAUAAUGUGCACAAUAGGCCUAAAAGUCAUCAUUUAAUGAUUUAAAUGAAAUCACCCUAAUAUGAUUAUCU